CGCCACACCCAAGGCUCUGCAUGUCUGCAUGUCCAAACCAGGCCUCACAUAAAAAAUGGAUAAAUCCAAUAACUAAAACAGCAGCUUCAUUGACAUCCAGAAUCACGUACAACCCUACCAGCCCCUCCCCCUCCCCUCCACCACCACCACCACCCUUCCCUUUUCCACACCCAAGCAAAGCAGCUUAGUGGCUUUGGCACUGAUUGAACAUGUUGAAUAAAUAAAUGAAUAAACAAUACAAAAUGAAAUUGGAUGGCCAUGGAGAUCCGGCAUCACCGUAAUCCUGCCGGUCAAGGGAGCGGCGACAGGUAGUCACCAGAGGCCAGAGGAGGGCCAGCCUGCCCGGGCGACCAGGAGACGGAACAGGGAUUGGCGCCAAAAGAACCGCCAAAAAUCGGACCAGGAUAGCGCUGUGACUGUAUUGGACGCAAACAAGUUGGUGUCAACGACGUUGUCGUUAGGGGAUAAUGCCCAUUUCAGUGAAGGAGAACAGCCACAUUGACAUAUCGGUGUCAAUAACCCUACUCUCAGUACACAGGCACAUAAAGAGUAUAAUUACAGAGGCUUUUUAUGUGAGCUACCGGCACAGUCUCUACUGCUAGAGGAAAAUGUCACAGUAAUUUUCUUUGCGCUGGUUUCCAAAUGGCCAGGUGCUCUACAAGCUCUAGCAGAGUUAUUCUGGACGCCUAGAAACCACAGUUCACCCGUUAGCAAUUGUGUAAAACUGUGCCUGAGUGCAACCCACCAUGCCAGAGACAAAGACAAGCAAGACUGAAAGAACAUAAUGGGUGUUUGUAUGGAGGUAUUGAUCAGCGCAGGUUUGAGGGUGAGUGGACGGCACAUCUCCCACAUGUUCUGGCCCCCAGCAGCACAGUGAGCAUAAAACUCCAGCUGGGAGGUUUUAAUACCACCACCACAGCCGCCUAAAAUCAUGCACGCCGCAGCAGUAGUACAUUUUUUAUUUUAUUUUUCAGAUUUGUUUUUGGGCUUUUUGCCUUUUUAAUCGAUAGGACAGUGAAGGGGGCAAUUAUGAGCUGCUAUUCGUAGCUCUGUUCCGCCUGGUGUCACAGCUAAAGGUACGCCGUCUUUUUUCUUUUUCUCUCCAACCCCCCCGACGCACCACCCAUCACUACAGCUCUUUCUUCCCAUCUCCCCCCCCCACCCCACCCCACCCCGCUGCAGCUCCCCCUCUCGCCUCUAAUGGCUUAAUGUUGGGAGGCAGGCCAGAGAGAGGAGGCAGGCCAGAGAUAGGAGGCAGACCCUGGGGCCCAACAUGUCCUCUUGUCUCCAACACAAACAGUUCAAACGGGCAGGUGGACACAGACACCACUCACCCCCCUCCCUACACACACACACACACACACACACACACACACACACACACACACACACACACACACACACACACACACACCUCAUAACCCCAGCAGUGGCAGAGCCGGACCAUUUUUUAUAGGGGCGGCCAGGCUGAGACUAUCACUCACCUAGGGGUGACACAGAAACUGAUGUCUCGUUAAUGUUUUUUUUUCUGCGUGGCAUAGUGUUGUAGGCCAAAGUCAGUUUGUGUUCUGCUUAGGUGAAAAGCAAGUCCAGGUUUUGCUGUUUUUUGAGUGAUAGCACGGAAUAAUCUUGUUAAGUUACCCUACCUCGCAACCGUGAAAACACUGAAGGAGGAAAUAUUUACCGUUAUAGUGUUUGACCUCACCCUUUUCAAGUAUUUUGAGACAGAAAGUUACUAGAUGCUAGGUCGUUUUGAAGCCAUUUUUCCUGCAUAACCAAUAGGCUACUAAGAAUAGCCUACAACUAAACAGAUGUAUUAUAAAAGCAGUGGCACUACGAGACCAGAUACAUUUUAAAUCAUUUAUUUGUCAACAUCAGCAACACAUGAUUGGGGGCGAACAGACCUGUUCCCACAACGUGAAUUACUUACCCCUUUUAAGGUUGCAUUUCCUGUCACAUUAUAUCAAACAAACCCACAGAAGCCUGCCUUGUAGAAAUAUAAUUGUUUUAUUGGCUGAUCACCACGAUGUGCUUGACAACCAAAACUAGAUUUUCGAUUCAUAAACACCACUGAAGACGCGGUGAAGGCUUUGGAGGCUGGAGCUCAGGCCGAAGCUUCAUGGAGGAAUGGUUCCUAAAAAUAAGCUUCUGCCUGAAAAGCGAUGGGGUCUCCAGACUUUAGUCUAUGGUGGCCGUGGCCGUACUUUAGUCUAUGGUGGCCGUGGCCGUACUUUAGUCUAUGGUGGCCGUACUUUAUUCUAUGGUGGCCGUGGCCGUACUUUAGUCUAUGGUGGCCGUACUUUAGUCUAUGGUGGCCGUGGCCAGACUUUAGUCUAUGGUGGCCGUGGCCAGACUUUAGUCUAUGGUGGCCGUGGCUACUCCGGGCCACUCCUUUGCUCCGCCCGCGUCCCCUGGGUCCAGGGGUCUAUGUAGGGGGCAGGCGGAUGGGGUACUGCUGGCUCUGUGAUGGGGUACUGCUGGCUCUGUGCGUUUUUCAGGUCUUUUGAUGUAAAAACAACAGAAUAGCUCUUUUCCUUAGUCACAUUUGGGAAAACAAAAAGUGGAUUGAAUGGCGGAAAGUGCCAAAUACAUGCACUGCACCUACACCUCAUGAAAGAUAUAGAGGCCAGGCCGUGCUUAACCUUUCUGUGUGUGUAUGUGUGUGAGCAUUUGUGUAUAUACAGUAUAUGUGUGUGUGCGUGUGUGUAUGUGUUUAUGUUAGCGUAUGUGUCUAUAUAAGUGUGUGUUUUUGCUUGUGUGUAUUUUUGUGAGUUACCAUGUCUCUCUCUCUCUCUGUGUGUUUGUGACUGUGUGCAUCUGUGUCGAGUGUGUGUGUGUGUGUGUGUGUGUGUGUGUGUGUGUGUGUGUGUGUGUGUGUGUGUGUGUGUGUGUGUGUGUGUGUGUGUGUGUGAGAGUGUGUGCAUCUGUGUCGAGUGUGUGUGUGUGUGUGUAGGGAUGAGAAUUGAUAAGAUUUUAACGAUUCCGAUUCCAUAACGAUUCUUUCUUAUCGAUUCGAUUCCUUAUCGAUUCUCUUAUCGAUUAUUUUAUACAAACGAGUUUAUUUACAUUAAUUUUCUUUUAUAUAAUAUUCUCUGAAUAGACGUUUCACAGCAUAUACAGUAUGUAUGUAUACAUUUACAUGUUUUAAAUAACCCAAAACAAACCUAAGAAUAGGUCAACAAACUCUCAAAGUAAGGUCCAGAGACCCAUAGCCUAGGGAUCCUUUUCCUUGAUGGGGUGCCAGGGGGUCCCAACAAAUUUGUUUUCACUAUAAUUCCAACCAUAAGUAACAGAAUGUAUGACUGAUUUGGUAAUGGGUUUCAUACAAUUUUUGUAAUAAAACAUCUAAACUCAAAAAUCUCAGAUGGGGGAGCCUGGAAAAUAGUCUUAUCAAAUAGGGAUCCCUCCCUGGUCUAAUUUGUGGCAGUUUAGGUGUCCUUGAUAUACCAGAGUUUGAGAACCGCUGUGCUAAAUAAUAUUUGAACAUGCCAAUAACUGUGCUGUUUUUUUUUUUUACAAGUGUAUUCACCUUGAACUAAAAAAUAAAACUGACAUAAACAAAAAGUGAAACCUGGUUUACACAAUAAAACAAAUGGCACUAACAUAAUAGACUGUUAGAGUUUACCUUCAAUAUUAACAGAUGAAGCGCUAACGUUAGCCGCGAUGCUGUUGCUUGGUUGAGAUUCAUUAACGUUAUCUUCACUCCAUAGCGCUCAAAAACGCGACAUUCCUGCAAAGUUAUUGCAUGCAGUAUGGACAAAUGUUUCGGAGUAAUGGUAGCUUUCCCCCCUUUGACACAAGAGACGUUUUGCAAGCACUGCAAGUGGCCCUGUGGUCGUCUUUUUGCGUGAAAUAUAACCACACUUUUGAACGCCUUUGCCUAGAUGCUAUGUUGGCUGCAGUCUAAAACAAAACAAAGCUGCGUGCGCGUGACAUACCUAAACUGCACUUACAUCGAUACCGGAAUAAAAAAAAAAAAAAUCUAAAAAUGAAUCAUUUUUUAAGGCAUGUAUAGCGGAAUCGGAAAAAAAAUAAAAAAAAAUAUAUAUAUAUAUAUAUAUUUUUUAAGUAUUGAUAGCAUAAUCGAAAAGGAUUUUGGCUAACGAUUCCCAUCCCUAUGUGUGUGUGUGUGUGUGUGACUGUGUCGAGUGUGUUUUCCUAGCUUGUUUUGGCAGUCAUCUUUUCCCUGUUAUCAUUUCCCCUGUCCCUCUACACAGGUCUGCCUUAAGAAUGAAUGUAUGUCUACAAAAGCAGCUCAGAAUCCUGAAGAAUAAAUAAAUUUGCUUGAGAAGGAACUAAAAGAGUCAUUUAGCUCAUGGUUCACUUCUCCAUUGUGAGAAAAAAAGAACUGUUCUAUUAAUCGUAAUUUAAACAGGAGCAUCAAAUGAGAUAUAAAAUGAUGUUUAUAAAUAGUUAGAAAGGAAGUGGGGGGGGGGGGGGGGGGGACUUAGCUCAAAUGUAUCGCAGUGGGUGUCAUGUUGUAUUUAUGCACUCAUAGCAACACACAGAAACUGGAGCACUUUAAUGUGCACACCACAGC
ensembl:lncRNA